GACGAACGCUGGCGGUGUGCUUAACACAUGCAAGUCGAACGGAAAGGCCCUGCUUUUUUGGUGUUCUCGAUUGGCGAACGGGUGAGUAACACGUGAGUAACCUGCCCUUCAUUUUGGUAUAACUUCAGGAAACUGGGGCUACUCUCGUAUAGGAGCUCCUGCUGCAUUGUGGGGGUUGGAACGUUUCGGCGGUUGGGGUUGGAUUGGCGGCUUAUCAGCUUGUUGGUUGGGUAGUGGCUUACCAAGGCUUUGACGGGUAGCCGGCCUGUGAGGGUGGCCGGCGACAUGGAGACUGAGAUACGGCGCAGACGGGUACGGGAGGCAGCGGGGGGGAAUAUGGCACAGUGGGCGGGAGCGGGAGGAAGAGACGCGGGGGGCGGGAUGACGGCCUUCGGGUUGAGAACAGCUGUAGGCUGUGACGAAGCGGGAGUGACGGUAAUGGGUGAAGAAGCACCGGCUAACUACGUG
rnacentral:rRNA from 1 species